AACAGGGCCUAAAUAAAUUUAUAAAAAUUAGAUUUAAAUAUCUAAUAGUAUUAAUUAUAUAUUAUUAAUAUUAAUAUUUUAUUAAUAUAUAGUUAGUUUAUGUUGUUUUUUGAAAAACAAAAACGUCAUAUAUUUAGGAGACGAGGGAAAACAAACCCACGGCAUGGCCUCUGCACAAUGUGAGCCCUACAAAGUACAAACAGUUGCAUUCAUAGUCCGCGCUGCCGUUUCCAGCUGCUACAUGUACUGUCGCGCAGUGCGGCUUGCGCUACCGUCCAACAAGGCUUUGUUUAGUUCCCAACGAAAUCAAAAAAAUUUUCAAAAUUCCCUGUCAC
rnacentral:lncRNA from 1 species